AUUGAACGCUGGCGGCAUGCCUUACACAUGCAAGUCGAACGGCAGCACGGGAGCAAUCCUGGUGGCGAGUGGCGAACGGGUGAGUAAUAUAUCGGAACGUGCCCAGUCGUGGGGAUAACGUAGCGAAAGCUACGCUAAUACCGCAUACGAUCUAUGGAUGAAAGCGGGGGAUCGCAAGACCUCGCGCGAUUGGAGCGGCCGAUAUCAGAUUAGGUAGUUGGUGAGGUAAAGGCUCACCAAGCCGACGAUCUGUAGCUGGUCUGAGAGGACGACCAGCCACACUGGGACUGAGACACGGCCCAGACUCCUACGGGAGGCAGCAGUGGGAAUUUUGGACAAUGGGCGCAAGCCUGAUCCAGCAAUGCCGCGUGCAGGAUGAAGGCCUC
rnacentral:rRNA from 1 species